CAGUAGCCGCGGUAAUACGAAGGGGGCUAGCGUUGCUCGGAAUGACUGGGCGUAAAGGGCGCGUAGGCGGCGGCCAAAGUCAGGCGUGAAAUCCCUGGGCUCAACCUGGGGGCUGCGUUUGAUACUUGGUUGCUUGAGUGGGGAAGAGGGUCGUGGAAUUCCCAGUGUAGAGGUGAAAUUCGUAGAUAUUGGGAAGAACACCGGUGGCGAAGGCGGCGACCUGGUCCUUUACUGACGCUGAGGCGCGAAAGCGUGGGGAGCAAACAGGAUUAGAGACCCCGGUAGUCCCUGUCUCUUAUAC
rnacentral:rRNA from 1 species